UACAGAGACUGCAAGCGUUGUUCGGAUUCAUUGGGCGUAAAGGGUCCGUAGGCGGUCGGCUAAGUCGGAUGUGAAAUCUCACAGCCUAACUGUGAAUGGUCAUUCGAAACUAGUCGGCUAGAGGGCUGGAGAGGAGACUGGAAUUUACGGUGUAGCGGUGAAAUGCGUAGAUAUCGUAAGGAAGACCAGUGGCGAAGGCGGGUCUCUGGACAGUUCCUGACGCUGAGGCACGAAGGCCAGGGGAGCAAACGGG
rnacentral:rRNA from 1 species